GGAGGGGUGGCCGAGUGGCUGAAGGCGCACGCUUGGAAAGCGUGUAUGCGGGAGACCGUAUCGCGGGUUCGAAUCCCGCUCCCUCCGCCA
rnacentral:tRNA from 2 species